CACUUUCAAAGGCAUGUGCCUAUUGAGUAUUAAAAUUAUGAUUUAUGGUAGCAAAAUUCCAGUUGUGAAGCAGCUAAGAAAAUAAUGUUAUGGUUAGGAAAUCAACCUAACAUGAGGAACUGUAUUAACAGGUUGCUGCAUUAAGAAGGCUGAGAACCACUGACUUAAAAAGACCUAAAUCUAGACACACACGGACAUCUGAGGGUUACAAACAAAUAUAGACACCAAGCAGCGCUGUGAAGUAACCCCCACACUCCUAAGACACCCAUGGAAGAGCAAAGGUCAGACUGACUUCCGGUCUGCAAUGGAGAGAGUACCACAUACCAGAAUUUAUACACAGCCCAGGAGACUUUCUUGGUUACACAAGCUGGCUUCCUGAUACUCCCCAGUUUUCUGAGGACGUCUCCUCCGUGUUAUGAAAUACAACCGUGAGACUGAAAAAAUAAACCGUAUGUUUCCAGAAAGAAGGGAAGAAAGGAACAAUACGGCUGUGUGCCCACCAUCUUGGCCACUUCAGGAAGAGAUAAGAUGCAGUCUAAUUUGCAUACAUACUCAGGAGCCCGAAGGAUAACCAGCCACGUUGUACUGGGUGGAGGGUAACUCCUCUCCCUUCUAAAAUGUCUCCUCCUGUGGUCACUCUCUCCUCUCCUAGAAAAGUGGGAAGAGAUGCUGCCAGGUUGGGAUCUCAGAUGUCCGCCACACACCACCUUACAGCCUCACCCUCAACAGGUAAGAAAACAGAGAACAUAAGCAAGUUAUGUAAGGC
rnacentral:lncRNA from 1 species